CUCCAGCCUUCACCGCUCCCCGUAUUGGCUUCGCCUCUGGCCGGUUCCGUGUGUCCGCCGACUUCUCGGAGUGCAGCUAGUCGCUGAACAUGGGCCUUAUGACUGACCACAGCAGAGCGCAGAUCUCGGGCGUAACAGGGAGCGGCAACAUCAAGGCAUCUUGGUUCCAGUUCGAACGCUGCUGUUUUGUCCUGUUUUGUGUCUGUGGUGUUUGUUUCAUUUCGUUGUUGAACCGGC